AGUCAGGAUGGCAUUACCAAAGGCAGUAAGGUUUGUGAUUGUUCUUCUGGCUAUUAUCUACUGUCUGGCUCAUCAGGGAAACAGAACAUCUCUCAAAGUUUUCAUUCAGGAACUGAUGGAUACAAAAGCUUCAGGCAGUCAUACCAUAGAAAAAAGAGUGGCUUACUUAGAUUCCUCUGAGUACGUAUUCCAAGCUGUUUUGAACUUGUCUGACCUGGAGAGUGUCAGAGCUAUUUUGAGCGCAAACCCUUUCAUUGAACUGAGUGACAGUAACGCUUUAGUUACCAACAUUAAAGCCACA